rnacentral:rRNA from 1 species
UACGUAGGCAGCAAGCGUUGUUCGGAGUUACUGGGCGUAAAGAGUGUGUAGGUGGUGUCGUAAGUUUGGUGUGAAAUCUCCCGGCUUAACUGGGAGGGUGCGCCGAAGACUGCGAUGCUGGAGUAUGGGAGAGGAAAGCGGAAUUCCUGGUGUAGCGGUGAAAUGCGUAGAUAUCAGGAGGAACACCUGCGGUGUAGACGGCUUUCUGGACCAUUACUGACACUGAGACACGAAAGCGUGGGUAGCAAACAGG